rnacentral:misc_RNA from 1 species
GAUGAAGAACGUAGCGAAAUGCGAUAAGUAAUUUGAAUUGCAGAAUUCAGUGAAUCAUCGAAUCUUUGAACGCACCUUGCGCCCCUUGGUUAUUCCAAAGGGCAUGCCUGUUUGAGUAUCAUGAACACCUCAACUCUUGUGGUUUCCCACAAUGAGCUUGGACUGUGGAGGUUUUGUUGGCCCUGUGGUCAGCUCCUCUCAAAUGGAUCAGCUUACCGGUGUUUGGUGGCAUUACGGGUGUGAUAACUAUCUACGCUCGUGGUCGUCUCCAAAUAACCUCCAGUGAUGGAGGUUCGCUGGAGCUUAUAAAUGUCUCUCCCCAGUGAAGACAGCCUUUGAACGUUCGAUCUCAAAUCAGGUAGGACUACCCGCUGAACUUAAGCAUAUCAAUAAGCGGAGGA